rnacentral:lncRNA from 1 species
UCCAUCCUGACUGUCAGCCUGUCCUACAUGGUGGGGAUGAUCGCCAGCUUCUAUGACACCGAGGCUGUCAUCAUGGCUGUCGGCAUCACCGUCGUCGUCUGCUUCACCGUGGUCAUCUUCUCCCUGCAGGUCAGCGCCAGGGCUGCCCCUGCUCCUGCCUGGGAGGCUCCAGACUGGGGGUACAACACCCCAGUGACUCUCUCUGGGCUCCUGGGGGGCUGUGGGAUCCCCUCUCAUGGGCCUUUGGACCCCACAUGGGGUGUAUAGCCCUCCUGAGCUCUCUGCUGGCUCUGGGGGCUCCACCCGGGUUCUGACCCCCCCAAUCCCCCUCCCCACAGACCAAGUACGACUUCACCUCGUGCCGGGGCGUGCUCAUCAUCUGCCUGGUGGUGCUCGUGCUCUUCUCCAUCCUCUGCAUCUUCAUCCGGAACCGCAUCGUGGACAUCGUCUACGCCUCGCUGGGGGCCCUGCUCUUCACCUGCUUCCUGGAGGUGGACACGCAGGGUGUCCUUGGGGUGGAUGGUGCAGGGUGUGCUUGGCUGGUUUGGGGUGGGAGGGAUUUAUGGGAUCUGCUGGUUCCUCCUGCCUCCCACACUGCCCUGUCCUGCAGUUCCUGGUGCUGGACAUGCAGGGUGUGCUCAGGGUGUCUGGCUGGUUUGGGCUGGAGGGGAUUUGCUGGUUCCUCCUGCCCCCCACACUGCCCUGGCCCACAGUUCCUGGCAGUGGACACGCAGGGUGGAGGGUGCAGG